GUCUUGGUAGCUUAAAUUAUAAAGCUUUAGUCUUUUAAACUAGAAAUGUGAUUAUUCACCCUGGAUA
rnacentral:tRNA from 1 species